AUUAAUCACUGCAAUUACCCUCUACAAUAUUUUCAUUUUUACUUUUGAAGGCAGCAUUUACACAACUCAACUCAAUUCAUCCUAUCCCAUCUAAUUUCUUUUCAGUCUUUUGCGGAAAUAUGUGCGGUGGAUAAGGACCAGCUAUUCUAAACAGGAUGGAAAACCAACUAUACAAAUACUACUACUCUGAAAAUCCGAACCAGAACUUUCAAUUGCCUCUCAAGAUUUCAAGUCUUUCAGAGAUCCAGCAGUGCCCACUAACCGUUUGCAGUGCCCACUAACCGUUUUGCCGUUCGUGUGGUUAACACGAACGACAAAAUAGUAGAAUGCUGGAAAUUUGACGGGGUUUUAUAUUUCAGAGGUUGGAGUUGUUUGCAUGAAACAUGUUAUGGCUUUAUCCACAUGUGGCAUGAAAAUAAGUUUUCCUCAAAAUUCUCCAUGAAAGCAUUCCUUCCAUCAGAUAAAUGAAAAAUAUUCCUAAGCAACUAAAACAUUGCAUCUCUUAUUACAAUACCCAUCAGUAGCGCCAGUUCUUGAGAGUUUUUUCAAAUCUGAAACUUUCGACAAACCUGUGCAACUAAAAUUUAAAUCUAUGCGAAUUUGUGGAAUUUUUGUGACUUCGUCAUUUUCUUGUGCUACAUUUUGUUACCUUAGAAGUUUUCAAUGCAUUAUAAAAUACUUAUUUGUUAAUAUAAUAUAUCUAUUGAAAUUACUUUAUAAUAAAAAAUAGUGAUUUAUUUU